CCUACGGGUGGCAGCAGUGGGGAAUAUUGGGCAAUGGGCGCAAGCCUGACCCAGCAACGCCGCGUGAAGGAAGAAGGCUUUCGGGUUGUAAACUUCUUUUCUGAGGGACGAAGAAAGUGACGGUACCUCGGGAAUAAGCCACGGCUAACUACGUGCCAUCAGCCGCGGUACUACGUAGGUGGCAAGCGUUAUCCGGAUUUAUUGGGUGUAAAGGGCGUGUAGGCGGGAAAGCAAGUCAGAUGUGAAAACUCAGGGCUCAACCCUGAGCCUGCAUUUGAAACUGUUGUUCUUGAGUGCGGGAGAGGCAAUCGGAAUUCCGGGUGUAGCGGUGAAAUGCGUAGAUAUACGGAGGAACACCAGUGGCGAAGGCGGAUUGCUGGACAGUAACUGACGCUGAGGCGCGAAAGCGUGGGGAGCAAACAGGAUUAGAUACCCGAGUAGUC
rnacentral:rRNA from 1 species